GCUCCUUGUUCUCCAGAAUUGUUUAGCAGAGGAUGUAUUAAACAAAAUGUCACAGCAUUCAUGCAUUUGCACAGCACUUUUGAAACCUCUCUUAGUUUACAAACCUGCCAUCAAUUUUCUUUUGUUCAAAUCAUACCUGCAAUGCAACCAUUUCAAUUGAUAAUAGAGUAAUGACUCAAGCUUAUUAUAUGUCUAUACAUAUACAUAUUAGACAAAAUCCUUGCUUACUAUAUAUAUUGUUAACAUGUCUUAGAAAGUUGUAUCUACAACUUGCCAAAAGCCAUUUCAAUUAACUGAAGGUGGAAUGGCACUUGUACAUGAAACUUUGAUUCUUUUGUUACUAACCUUCUCAACCUGGUGUUUCUCAACAUCAAUCAGCACCAAUUCUUCAACAACCACAUCCUUGGCUAAAUUACCAAAUGCUACAACUGCAAAGCCUAAAAGAUUGGUCACCAAACUCAUUCAUCAAAGAUCUGUUCACCAUCCACACUACA
rnacentral:lncRNA from 1 species